UAGGUUGGGGUGACAUCAAACCAAAUUA
rnacentral:piRNA from 1 species